CCUACGGGAGGCAGCAGUGGGGCAUAUUGCACAAUGGGGGAAACCCUGAUGCAGCGACGCCGCGUGAGUGAAGAAGUAAUUCGGUAUGUAAAGCUCUAUCAGCAGGGAAGAAAAUGACGGUACCUGACCAAGAAGCCCCGGCUAACUACGUGCCAGCAGCCGCGGUAAUACGUAGGGGGCAAGCGUUAUCCGGAUUUACUGGGUGUAAAGGGAGCGUAGACGGUGAUGUAAGUCUGGAGUGAAAGCCCGGGGCUCAACCCCCGGACUGCUUUGGAAACUGUAUUACUGGAGUGCAGGAGAGGUAAGUGGAAUUCCUAGUGUAGCGGUGAAAUGCGUAGAUAUCAGGAGGAACACCAGCGGCGAAGGCGGCUUGCUGGACUGUAACUGACGUUGAGGCUCGAAAGCGUGGGGAGCAAACAGGAUUAGAUACCCGUGUAGUC
rnacentral:rRNA from 1 species